UUUUAAGCUGAAGCCACAGAGGUGCAGUGUGUAAUAAGUAGGCAAAGUUUGCUCUGCAUUUCGAGUGCAUCAUUGUGCUCUAAGUAAUGCAGAUUUGGCUCCUUUAACCCUGAUCUCCUGGGGCUGAGCUUUAAGUGUUUGAACUUUAGUUGAAAGGAAUAUAUUGAUUAGGCUUUGAUUUAGUCAUUGCUUGCUGGAAAGAUACCAGGUAACAACUCGUAUCUGCCCAUUUAGAUUUUUAUUCAUUACAUGGAUUCCCCUCUCCUUCCCCUUUUCUUCCUCAACACUUUUCUGCCUAAAAGUCUGCAGUGCUUUGUGGAGAAAUAAAAGAAAAAGCAGCUGUCACACUGUGAACAUAAUUGAUUCAAUAAACAACAUUUUCAAGUCCCCUGGGAUGAGCCUCAGCGUCCUCGCUUAUGUCAAUUAGUGCUUUAUUCUGCUAAGUGUGGCACCUCUCCUUGAGAUGGAUGGGCCGAGGCAGUCAGCUCGUUGUCUUCGAGGAGAAGCUGUGAGAGAUGGACUGUUUGCUGUAGAUAGAAAAUACCCCGUUCAUUUGUUAUGGACAUGUGAAAGGAAGCUUUCCUGACCUAUUUGUUAAAGCUAAUUGUCUUUUUUCUUGGUUUUGUGGUUUUCUUUUUUCUCUGAAUGGCUCCGGCUGAGACCUUCUUUUUCUUUUGCUGCAGCAGAGAACAGCCCGGGUUAAGCCUUCGCCCAUCUCCGUUGCGGAUAACCUUAUGUCCGCAAUAUCGGAGCAAAGUGGAGCAGCAGAGCUGGCAAAUGGUGCUAUUCAGCGUGCAGGGCGAAGGUGUGGGAGAGGAGGGAAGCUUUAGGUUUUCUUCUACACAGUGACCGUGUUUUCUUUCUUCUGCUUGUACAACAAAUGCAGAGCUGCUUGUUUUGCACUACUGAAGCUUGCACUUGAAUCCAAAUCAAAACUGAGGAGAGCCUUGCUGCAAAACACCACGUCCAGCCCUGGCACGGAAGAGCACUUAACAAACAAAACAGCAAAGCUUCCCAUCCUGAGGGAAGCAGCUCAGUGCAUCCAAAUGGAGGUGGUGGGAAGCACCUGGGGCUGAACUGCCCUGCACCCCAACAAACCAACAACCCAAAUGGUGCUUUACUAACAGUUUAUUGUCUCACGGUUCCUUUUCCCUUCACAGAUCCGUUCUUGAGAUGAAACGCUCAUCCUGUGGUCCUCUGAUGGUGUCUGACUUUGUUCAGUAUUGUUUUCUUACAUUAUAGAGCUACUGAUGUGUAGAACUUCAAUCAUUGCAGACCCAACCACUUGCAAAGAAUACAAGCGAUGGCGUUUCCCUUCUAAGGAGGAGUGCAUUGAGAAGCAAGGAGCAGGGGCAGAACUGGAACACAGUGUGUGACAUAACUGAUUUGCUGCGGGAUCACAGCACCUUGGAACAGUGUGGGAGCUGCAAAGAGUCCUUUGUCCUCUCUGGUUCCUCUCUGAGAAGUCAGUGGUGUUUGGUGCCAUGCAGGCAGCAGGGAACCUGCAGAGAGUAAAUAUGGGAUCAAAAAAUGUUUUUUUUCUUUAGGGUGUUACUGUGUACCGCGGGGCUCCUCUUUCUGAUGUGAGAGGUACUGAAGCUGUGUGUAAAGUUGCCAUUUAUCUGUGCUUUUGUUCAGGGUAUUAACAUGAUGGAGAGGCUUUUUCUGGAGCAGCGUUGUUGACGGCCUGUGAGCUGUUGUAAAUGCAGCAUCCUUCUACAGGAGAAAAAGAACCUGCAUUGUUUCCUGGGAACAGAAUAUCUUCAUUGCCAUCGCGACACCAUGGCUGUUAUCUGAUCUUCAUUGGUACCAUUUUACUGAGGGGAGAGAAUUGCAUGUGUGGAGGUGGGGGAAAAAGGAGAAGACUGUAGACUGGAAUUGUGAAAUCACAGAGAAAAAAUGUAAGCUUGGGAAUGGCAUCUCCUUGUGAAUUUGGUGCACCAUCCCUAGGGACCGCAUUCGAUCAGGGAACGCGGAGCCCUGCUGCACAAACAGCCCUCGCUGCCAUGAGGAGCCCUGAGCCUCUCCAGCCCAUUGCUGUCUUUCCCGGAGGCACAAGCACAGCCCAUGCACUGCUCUGAGAUGGACUUCACUGCCCCAAAACAAAGCUCGACCUCAGCAGCGCAGUGGGGCUGCCGCUUCCUGCCUGUGUCAGCACUGCUCAUUAUUACAGCCCUGAUGGUGGUGUUUGGUUACCGUGCUCCCGCCAGUGUAAUUAUACCCAACUGUAAAGAUGUGCCUCGGGACAAGUUUUAAA